CGCAUGCAGAGCGCGCAGCCGCCGGUUUGGAGCCUUAGGGCUCUGGGAAGAAUGGGAGGCAUUCAGAAAGAAGGGCUGGGGCAGUGCUCUCGGUCUCAGGAGCCCCGGAGGGGGUGUAGACUAGCUCUUGGCAGUCCGAAGGUUCCUUAGGAUGGAUGGUUUAGCAAGUAUUUCCACCCCCUUUUGUCUUUUUUAACCCCCUCCCAGCAGUGGGAGUAAAACUCCUUGUCUCCGCCUCUGCCACGGAGCUACAUUCCCAGCUGUUUUUACUUUCUGGAUGCUACUGUUUGCAGCGCAGAAGUUCUUGAUAUUGAUGUAAAUUGUACAUGUUGUGUACAUACUUAUUAUAGCUUAUGUAAUGUACACAAUUAUGUUAAAAGUACGUAUGUUAUGAGUGGUCUGAAAUGGAGAAGUCUAGCCCAUCAACGUGCAUGAUCUCACUGAGUGUUAGGGGUUACUAUAAGAUCCUUACAUUGAUGCCCAAACCUGGGACAGGGAUCUCCAUCACCCAAGGCAGAACUGGUUCCCAAACUCUGAGCCCAACUGUUCCUGUCAUAGUCCACUCCUCUGAUCACCUGCCUGACACCCACCACUGACUGGCGGAUAGCUGCAGGUUUGUGGCUUGCACUGUACCUCUGAUCCUCCUCUUAGUGAAGAUGACACCUGUUACCCUCCGAGGCCUGCAAUUCUUACAAGCCCUAUGGGAAGAUAGUUGGCUUAUCUCUCCCCCUGGGCCACCCCAGUGAAUGGCUCAUUAUACCCAACAAUUUGUGGUUGCAAGGCACGUUCAUGGACUUCUCCCCCGAGGAAAUCCAUGCUUUCAGCGCAUGGAUAUGGGGCCUCCUGGCCCUCCUUCUCCAACCAACUGACCUCCCUCCCUCUAAACAACACCCCUACUCAGCAGGAAGAAGCCAGAACUAGUAUGAUGCCUCCAAACCAAAACAAAAAAGGGAGGCAUGUUGGUAAAGAUGGCGCCCGAAGUGCAUCUCUUCCGGGAGUUCAGGUCCAUGAUGCACUGAAUGGCGUGAACUACUAUCUAAGUGGCAUGAACCAUCACCUCCAAUCCCUGAAAUGGCACAAACUGUGACCUCCCACCCCUAGGAGACUCAUACCCUCUCCUGCCCAAAAAUGGACCCUUGGCCAACAAAAAAGUAACAGCCCACUCCCCAUGCUCAUUCUCUCUCUCUCCCCCCCACUUGUUCUCUUCUGUGACCGGCUGCUACAUUCCCACUAAUAAAAUCUUGGACAGGUAAA